AUGCUAGGGUUAGGAUUGAGAGAAAAUGCGAGAAAAAAUAAAAAAUGAAGAACUCCAUGACUGCCACUUAAUCGAAGAUUAGACGUGAUAGGAAGAGUUCAAACCAGCAAAGUCAAAGUAGAUGAUCGAAACAUUAGAGGGAGCAAGGGCAUGAGAUAGAGAGUUGCGCUAGGGAGAACACCAAAUGCACAAUCAGUGACGAGCGAGAUCGAUGGUGAGUGAGAGAGACUAAGAGAACGAGUUUGGUAGUAAGAGAGUCAACACAGAAGCAUAAGAGUGAAAGUUUUCCAUUUUGUGAUUGCUAUGACGUGGGAAGCUUUUAUGGUAAUUCUAUGUCUUUUUAUUCUGAUUUAGAAUAAAUUUGUGUCUUACUAAUUUUCGUGUUUCCAUCAUGUUUGAUGAUAUGAAUUGUUUUAUUCGAAAUUAAUUAUUCCCCAACUGGUUGUUAAUUGCAAAAUUCAAUAUAGAAAAUAACAGUUUUGUGUGA